AGGAGAGCGCCUGAGACCAAGG
rnacentral:piRNA from 1 species